AAGGGUGACCCCCGGCAUGAGGUCGGGGGAGGGCGGCGAGGGUUCCGAGCUGGCGGAGUUCGGUUCGCGGUGGCCGCCGCCCUACUCCUCAGCACAGGGCUACGGCUGGACACGCUCUGCCACGCCACAACAUCCACCCGCACAUAAUCUAGCCAGGCAUUCACGUUCGCAGCAGUGGCUGCAAGAGAAUCGUCAGAGCUAUGAGGCGGAAGACGCACGUGCUCGUGCCCGGGGUGGCGUGUAUUACUCUCCUCCGGGCACAUCGUACACAAUUAUCGAAAGGCCGGCAUCCUCGCACGGCCAUCAUGCUUCUUAUUCGCAUCACUACUCCGGGAAAUUAUCUAGAACACCUUACCUGGGAUCAACUAACAUAGCUAGCACUGCAGUGGGCGCAACAAGCUUACGAAACAGCACGAACCACUUGAGUGUGAGCAACGGCAAAAAGCGUCCGAUAUCGCCGGAGCAAGUUCUCAGGUUAUUUGGUCAAGGAGGAGCUGCCGCUUUGGGCAAGGCACUGCCGCCUUCGCAUCCACCAGCGCCUUUGCCUGCUCCAGCUCGAAGACACUCUCCUGCCAGUAGCCCAAGCAGCACUACACAUCAUGCGAUCUAUCGCGGAGGCGAGCGAGACCGGGAGAGGCCGUACUCGUCGGGAGGCGGAGCGCCGCCGCCUACGGAGCCGGCCACCCGCACUGUCACCAUGAGCAGGGACCCCGCCGACUCGCACGGAUUUGGCAUAUGCGUUAAAGGCGGAAAAGAAGCCGGUGUAAGCGUUUACAUAUCGCGGGUAGAGGAGGGUUCAGUGGCGGAACGAGCUGGCCUGCGUCCCGGGGACUCUAUCCUGCAGGUCAAUGGCACGCCGUUCUCCGGAAUUUCGCACGAAGAUGCACUCAAGAUGCUUAAGUCGUGUCGUCAGUUGACGAUGACGGUGCGAACGGCGGGUGCUCUGGUUGGGCGGGCCUCCUGCUCCUGGAUGGACCGGUACGGACGACCUGCCUCUCCGCCUCCACUCCGACCCCCGCGAUCUGCGAGUAAAGACCGUUCAGUGAGAAGGGUGGAUUUAUGUAUAGAGCCAGGGCAAUCGUUGGGACUAAUGAUCCGAGGCGGACUGGAGUACAAUCUCGGCAUCUACAUUACUGGAGUUGACAAGGAUUCAGUUGCAGACAGAGCUGGUCUCAUGGUCGGCGAUCAGAUAUUAGAAGUUAACGGGCAAUCGUUCGUGGAUGUGACCCACGAUGAGGCGGUGGCCCAGCUCAAGUAUCACAAGCGCAUGUCUCUGCUUGUGCGAGAUGUCGGGAAAGUUCCGCACGCGUGUACGGCAUACGGGGAACGAGAUCCAAAUCCCAGGAUAAGCGGUUGGGGCAAAAGAAGAGGGGCAGCUUCCGUGGCUGUGGAACAAAAGGCCCGGUCUCUCAUACCGCAGAGCGAUCUGCCUGCACUCGCGUACUAUAUGGAAGAAUAUGCUGCAAGAAGACUCAACCCCGACUCAUUCCUUACAGUACUAAGAGAUCUCUUAGAUACGCCGCAGAAGUAUACUUUACUUACCGAGAUCCGCGAGUUUAUGGUGCCGGAAGACAGACCUCGCUUCGAUGAGCUUGUUUAUAGAAAAGGCGACGAAUCUGGCGACUACCAUCUGAAGCGUGGCAGCGAGCGUCACAACAUGCUGCCAUCAUCGACGAUGCACGAAUUGCACGACCCGGAAGUAGCGGUGGAGGCUCCUCUCGUGGCCGAUCACCGUUCUCCAUCCGAGGAUUCCGGAUUGGGCUUGCCGCCGCAUGAUAAUUACAGGAGCGGGCGCACGUGGCGGGCGGCAGACGCACCUCAGGACGACGACUUGGAGCCACCACACGAGGAGUACGAAGAAGAAGGUAGACAUUCUCGCCGGCACUCUUCUCCUUGCAACUCGCGCGAAGGGAGCACCACAGCCUUGCAUACCCAGCACUAUGAUGACGCGGAUCAGUGCGGCUAUCUCGAGGGGCUGCGCUCAUCACUCGGUGGCUGGACGCAGAAAGUAAAGUCAUGGUACUGGGGACGACCUCUAGAGCUAGCACAUAAGAUGUCUCGGAGUUUCGACAUGAAGGAGGAAGGCAAUGCUCUGAUUGAUGAUCGAGGAGGAAUUCGAAGGCAUCAGUCAAUGCAGCGUCUACAGCACGGAGAUCAGCAGACCGAUGAAAGUCGAGCAGCUAGGGUCGUAUCGGACCACCACGGAAACUUACACAUCACCGUUAAAAAGACUAAACCAAUACUCGGCAUAGCGAUAGAAGGCGGUGCUAACACCAAACAUCCACUACCUCGAAUUAUAAAUAUACAUGAACAUGGAGCCGCAUACGAGGCUGGAGGACUAGAGGUGGGCCAGCUGAUUUUGGCCGUUGAUGGACACCGCGUGGAGGGCAUGCAACAUCAGGACGUCGCGCGACUUAUUGCAGAGUCAUUCGCGCAAAGAGAUAAACCAGAGAUCGAGUUCCUCGUCGUGGAAGCAAAAAAGUCGAACUUGGAACCGAAGCCAACAGCUUUAAUAUUUCUGGAGGCCUAACAUCUACUGUCCCUCCCCGCCAGCGACCCACCGGUCCCGCUGGGCAGCGGGAUUCUGGGGGUCGACCUCACCGCGCACACCACGGAAUAGCCAACUCCAACCUGCGCUGCCACAUGCUCUUCUAAAUGCGCUCUUCAACAACAUACGAACCCAACACGAUCCUACCCUACGUUUCUAUCCGAAUUCCUAUCUUCAAACUAAAUAGAAGAACAAUUUGUAUUGCGGAUAAGCUUAUUAAACUGAAAAGCAGAAAGGUAAAGGUCGUGUUUGAUUUGUGGUUGAAAAUGAAAGCGUGUUCCGCUCUACGGGAUGUCAUACGAUCGGAUUAACGAUGAUGAUCAACAUGCCAUAUUUCAAAUAAUAUGACGUUGCAACGGACUGAUAUGAGAACAAUGGCGAAAAUACGAUGCAGGAUUCGCGCUGUUUUACCGAACGGCAUUGGUGCUAUGGAAAGGAAUCUAUCACACUAUUGAAAACGCUCCAUGUUCACAUCGGUAGUUUGUCAGUAGUGGUCGAUCAGUGCUUGCGCCACACCGAGCUGUCACGUCAUCCGUGUGCCAUCAACGUUGAUUUGGAGUUCACGAGCCACUCAUCCCAGCUCGUUGUACCGAUUCUAUUGUUUGCGUGAACGCGGAUAUCCACCACGCCAUCAAUCAUAGCAUGAGCUAAUGGUGCUGGUAUAUAACCGAAGUCACGACUGAGCAGCCUUAGCGCUACAUCAUCGUCGUCAUCAGUAGAGCAGAGCUUGCAGACUGCAGCACGUGACGCGCUCCUAAGCAAACUUUCUACUUUCUAACUUAACUUAUAAACGAUUUGCAGAAACAUUGAGGAUCUACAUGGUUUUAAAUUAAAUGCAUUCAAAUUUUAAAUUAAAUAUUCAAAUGUAUCUUUGCUAAUUGUGUGGAAAUAGAUAUAUUAUUAUGAAUUUCCUAGUUUGCUUAGCGAGUUCUGACACUAAUCAUGCGUCUUACAUUGUCAUUCCAUUAGGUAGUUUUGCGGUGAGUUUACGAAAAUUUGGCGGAGAGGGAUUUUAGCCCAUUCUAUAAUUAAAAAGAUAGUAAAUAAGUGAAUGUGUGCAAUAUAAUCAAAUGUUAUUUUAGAUAUUAGAAUCAAUGUACUGUUUCGGCACCCAAAUGAGAUUUAUAUACAAAUCAUUUAGAAGUAACAUCUAAUCUGGAAAACAAUAAUUGUUUAAGCUAUUAUGAACUAUAUUUUAACUUAAUAUGACUGCGUUCCCCAAUGUAAUUAAAGUGGGUAUAUACUAAAGCUUUUUAAAAUUACAUACAGCUAUAGAUAUUGUACACGUUCCAUAUAUUCGUAUUUAUUCGUAUUAUGUAAAAAUGUUUCAUGCUCUGUGUAUUAUUAUUACAUCUGUGUGCUUAGUGCGAGUUUUUUAACUUCUCGAUCGCGUAAAAGUUUACUCAAAUUUGUAUGGAUGGAGUUGGAUCAGCACUCCUAGCGGCGAACGUAGGGGCACUAAGCGCACUGUAGUCUUGAAAUACUAUUCCUUCUUUGAGCUAAUUAAUACAUAUGUUGCUGUAAAUAUACUGAUUCGUAAGCUGUAAAUAUCGUGUUUCAAUGUAUUGUAAAAAAUAAUAUAAUUAUUGAAGUUAGUGCCAAAAGCGUUUUACAAUCCCUCAUUAAUUAUAUGUACAGUGAAAUAUUACAGAAACUGCAGCAAAAUAUAGAUACAUUACUAUUGUUGUAUACAUUAAUAAAAUUAGCUAUAUAAUAUAAUCGAGCUACAUCACUAAUCGCUAAAUGAAUUAAGCUUUUAAAAAAUUAUGAAUCAAUUUUUAAAUAGGGAUGUUGACUAUAUUCCAAACGAAGUUUAAAAUUAAUCUUUUUUUAAUGCAUUCAAUAAUUAAAACGCCCAUAUUUGUUAAUAUCAUAUUAUAACUGCGAGUAUGAUGCCAUUUACUAUGAAAUACUAAUGGUAUGAACUAAACAGGGGCGCUAUCGAGAAUUGCAGGUAAAAUUUGAUUUUACAAUUGGUAGAUAAAUAAAAUUACUAAAAUUUCUGUUUGGCGCUUCCAUUCAAAAUUACUUAAUAUAUAUGCACAAGAAAAAAUAAAUAAAAAGUAGUUCAUAGAGAGAGAUUCUGCACAAGUCUCACACAUUUUAAGUAGUUUUUUUUUGGCGUAUAUAGAUAGAGGUAAAUACAGUCGCUUUGUUUGAGACAUGAGUUUUGUAAUCUUAUUUGUAUGCUAAUUAAAAUACGAAUUCGUUCGAAAUACAAACGAAUAUAGAAUAUAUGGUAAGAAUCUUGAUGUUCUCCAUGGUCGAUUAAAUAUUGACCCUGACUCCGCUUCCAUAGGAUUGGGUCCCAAUAGCAGUGACAGUGUUUUGUUAAAAAUGUACUCAUUAUUUUGCUCGUAUAUCUGCUUCUAGUACACAAAACUAGAGCUAAGCUUUAGUUGGCGCCAUUGAAUGUGGAAUCUUUACACAUUCAACUGUAUUCGCGGUUCGACAGAUACUGAACUGUUGUUCUAUUUCAGAUUUAAAUUGAUUUGAUUAACGGUUUUGGAUUUUGGUAAUACAUUUUUUUGCAUUAAUGUUACCUUGAUGUUUACCCCUAUACCUAAGUUUCUUAGUAUUAGCAUAGGUGUAUUGUUAUGAAUGCUGUGUUUUCGUGUAGCUACUAUUAAGUAUAAUACUGAAAGCGACUUAAUAAAAACCUUUUUAUCAAAAUUAUAUUGGAAAACGAAAAUAAAUAAGUUGAUUGUUCGUUCAGAUAAACGAUUGUGUGUCGCAAAGAUCACAAAGACGACUUUUGGUCCGCGAGAGAUUUAAAAAAAAUUUUUUUUUUUUUUUUGCUUAGAUGGUUGGACGAGCUCACAGCCCACCUGGUGUUAAGUGGU
rnacentral:misc_RNA from 1 species